rnacentral:rRNA from 1 species
UACGGGGGGGGCAAGCGUUGUUCGGAAUUACUGGGCGUAAAGGGCUCGUAGGCGGCCAACUAAGUCAGACGUGAAAUCCCUCGGCUUAACCGGGGAACUGCGUCUGAUACUGGAUGGCUUGAGUUUGGGAGAGGGAUGCGGAAUUCCAGGUGUAGCGGUGAAAUGCGUAGAUAUCUGGAGGAACACCGGUGGCGAAGGCGGCAUCCUGGAACAACACUGACGCUGAGGCGCGAAAGCGUGGGGAGCAAACAGG